CAACUGAUGUGAGUCACGGGACUCGAGGACUAUCAGGAACUACAUUCAGUUCGCGGAUCCUUCCAGCCGUUUCGGAGAACUGGCACUCAUGGCCGUGCGGGACCGACGAGUCAAUUUGAAUACCGAUUGUUAUCGCAACGGAUAGAGGGACU